UAGGGAAUCUUCGGCAAUGGGGGGAACCCUGACCGAGCAACGCCGCGUGAGUGAAGAAGGUUUUCGGAUCGUAAAGCUCUGUUGUUAAGGAAGAACGAGUAUGAGAAUGGAAAGUUCAUACUGUGACGGUACUUAACCAGAAAGGGACGGCUAACUACGUGCCAGCAGCCGCGGUAAUACGUAGGUCCCGAGCGUUGUCCGGAUUUAUUGGGCGUAAAGCGAGCGCAGGCGGUCAAUUAAGUCUGAUGUGAAAGCCCCCGGCUCAACCGGGGAGGGUCAUUGGAAACUGGUUGACUUGAGUGCAGAAGAGGAGAGUGGAAUUCCAUGUGUAGCGGUGAAAUGCGUAGAUAUAUGGAGGAACACCAGUGGCGAAGGCGACUCUCUGGUCUGUAACUGACGCUGAGGCUCGAAAGCGUGGGUAGCAAACAGG
rnacentral:rRNA from 1 species